rnacentral:lncRNA from 1 species
GCUAAAUACCGUAAAUGUAAAUGUAAAUAACAAGAGGAAAAAACUGCAGCCUUCAUAGAAAAAUUUUCAGCUUCAGUAUUCACAAAUAAACAGCGGAAACAUGCUUCUGGUGAGUCAGUAGUGAUGGCAGAAAUGGAUGUGAAAGAAGGACAAGAACAACUUCAUCUGAAGAACUUCACCAUGGGCAGCUGUGUCUUCUGCACUUGAUAUUCCACCUACAAAUAAAGGUUGAAAGAGGAGGAAAGCA